rnacentral:lncRNA from 1 species
UAUGGAAAGGAAGUAUUUGAAGAAAGAAGUUAUUCAGGGAGACAAAAUGGUUAUAGCAAGAAACACAGAAGUAAUGACAUUGAAUGCUCAUCAAAGACCAAGAUUAUGUCAUCACUCCAACGGUCCUUCUCACUACUAUAUAAAGGACAGUCUACCUCACUGAGAGACACAACAUCAAUGCACAGAAAAAGUCAUUCAUAUUCUCUCUCAUUUUCACGAGCUG